AAUCAACGCUGGCGGCGUGCCUAACACAUGCAAGUCGAACGAGAAAGGGACUUCGGUCCUGAGUAAAGUGGCGCACGGGUGAGUAACACGUGACUAACCUACCCUUGAGCGGGGGAUAACCUAGGGAAACCUGGGCUAAUACCGCAUAAUACCUACGGGUCAAAGCGAGCAAUCGCACUUAAGGAGGGGGUCGCGGCAGAUUAGCUAGUUGGUGAGGUAAUGGCUCACCAAGGCGAUGAUCUGUAUCCGGCCCGAGAGGGCGCACGGACACACUGGAACUGAAACACGGUCCAGACUCCUACGGGAGGCAGCAGUGGGGAAUUUUGCGCAAUGGGCGAAACCCUGACGCAGCAACGCCGCGUGGAGGUAGAAGGCCUACGGGUCGUGAACUUCUUUUCCCGGAGAAGAAGCAAUGACGGUAUCUGGGGAAUAAGCAUCGGCUAACUCUGUGCCAGCCGCCGCAGUAAUAC
rnacentral:rRNA from 1 species